CUUAUGGUGCACGCUAAUACC
rnacentral:misc_RNA from 1 species